GACAGCCAGGAUGUUGGCUUAGAAGCAGCCAUCAUUUAAAGAAAGCGUAAUAGCUCACUGGUCGAGUCGGCCUGCGCGGAAGAUGUAACGGGGCUAAACCAUGCACCGAAGCUGCGGCAGCGACGCUGAUGCGUUGUUGGGUAGGGGAGCGUUCUGUAAGCCUGCGAAGGUGGCCUGUGAGGGUUGCUGGAGGUAUCAGAAGUGCGAAUGCUGACAUAAGUAACGAUAAAGCGGGUGAAAAGCCCGCUCGCCGGAAGACCAAGGGUUCCUGUCCAACGUUAAUCGGGGCAGG
rnacentral:rRNA from 2 species